rnacentral:lncRNA from 10 species
GUGCCUCCCAUAGCCAGCGCUUGACAAAUGGGCAAGAUUCAGUCCAAGCCUAUGGGCUCAGCCCUUUGUUUCCCAGAGCCUCAGCCUCCAUGCCUAUUCACCCACACACUACCAGCCCCUCCACCCAGGAACAGCAUCAGCAACCACGCAGAGAGGAGCCCAUUGCUGCUGAAGGUGAGAGGCUGUCCUCUGCCUGCUUUCAGGACUCCUGGUUCUCAGGCUGCUAGACCUGAACUGGAAUCUACAGCCACUGGCUCUCUGGCUUUCAGGUCUUCAAACUACAUCACCAGCUUUCCUGGGCCUGAACCUUGCCAAUGACAGAUUGUGGG